rnacentral:lncRNA from 1 species
AUUGUGUGGAACAUGAACCCUAAUAAUGCUGUAAAUUUGUUUGUUUUGCUUUGUUUGGAGACAGGGUUGGUGUCAUGCCCCACGCUGGUUUAGAGCUCAACACGUUGUCCUGGCUGGCCUUGAAUUUUCAAUCUUCCUGUCUCUGCUUCCUGAGUACUGGGCUUGCAAGGCCAUCAAUGUUAGUCCCUCCCCGAAGGCCUGCAUCUAUGGAGUGGCGCUCACGAGUGUCUCCAUCUAAGUCUGUGUUUCUAAGUCCUUCUUCCAAGAACCAGCCCCAGAAGGUGUCUGCCUCCCCA